rnacentral:rRNA from 1 species
UACGUAGGGUGCAAGCGUUGUCCGGAAUUAUUGGGCGUAAAGAGCUUGUAGGCGGUUUGUCGCGUCUGCUGUGAAAUUUCGGGGCUCAACCCCGAACUUGCAGUGGGUACGGGCAGACUAGAGUGUGGUAGGGGAGACUGGAAUUCCUGGUGUAGCGGUGAAAUGCGCAGAUAUCGGCAGGAACACCCAGGGGGAAACCAGUCGACUGGGCAGCACCUGACGCUGAGGUGCGAGAGCGUGGGGAGCGAACCGG